rnacentral:rRNA from 1 species
GACGAACGCUGGCGGCGUGCUUAACACAUGCAAGUCGAGCGGUAAGGCCCUUUCGGGGGUACACGAGCGGCGAACGGGUGAGUAACACGUGGGUGACCUGCCCUCAGCUCUGGGAUAAGCCUGGGAAACCGGGUCUAAUACUGGAUAUGACUCCAUGACGCAUGUUGGUGGGGUGGAAAGCCUUGUGCGGCUGAGGAUGGGCCCGCGGCCUAUCAGCUUGUUGGUGGGGUGAGGCCUACCGAAGGCGACGACGGGUAGCCGGCCUGAGAGGGCGACCGGCCACACUGGGACUGAGACACGGCCCAGACUCCUACGGGAGG